rnacentral:misc_RNA from 1 species
GAUGAAGAACGUAGCGAAAUGCGAUACUUGGUGUGAAUUGCAGAAUCCCGUGAACCAUCGAGUCUUUGAACGCAAGUUGCGCCCGAAGCCAUUAGGCCGAGGGCACGCCUGCCUGGGCGUCACACGUCGUUGCCCCCCCAUCUACUCCUUCGGGAUUGCGGGGGGCGGAUGAUGGCUUCCCGUGCGCCUCGUCGCGCGGUUGGCAUAAAUGCCAAGUCCUCGGCGACGCACGCCACGACAAUCGGUGGUUGCGAAACCUCGGUUGCCCGUCGUGUGCGGUCGUCGCGCAUCGAGGGCUCGAAAAAAUUGCCGGGCUCCGGCUCGGCUUUCAACGCGACCCGAGGUCAGGCGGGGUUACCCGCUGAAUUUAAGCAUAUCAAUAAGCGGAGGA